GUAAUUACUUGUCUUCUAAAUAAAGACUACACCACGAGAACUAAAMUGUCUCCUUUUUCUAAUCAGUGAACCUAAUCUCCCUGUGAAAAAGCAGGGAUUUAAUAAUAAGACGAGAAGAUGGAGCUUUAAACACGUUUUUAGUUGGGGUGACUACGGAGUAAACCUCCGCGAUGAAACAGCUUUAUACAUCAGCAAACUGACCAACGAACCAAGUUACCCUAGGGAUAACAGCGCAAUCCCCUUAGAGAAUCGACAAGGGGGCUUACACCUCGAUGUUGGAUCAAGAUGUCCUAGUGGUGCAGCAGCUACUAAGGGU
rnacentral:rRNA from 1 species